rnacentral:rRNA from 1 species
AUUGAACGCUGGCGGCAUGCCUUACACAUGCAAGUCGAACGGCAGCACGGGUGCUUGCUCCUGUUGUCGAGUGGCGAACGGGUGAGUAAUACAUCGGUACCUGUCCUGUAGUGGGGGAUAGCCCGGCGAAAGCCGGAUUAAUACCGCAUUCGAUCUACGGAUGACAGCGUGGGGCCUUCGGGCCUCGCGCUAUAGGGUUGGCAGAUGCCGGAUUAGCUAGUUGUGGGGGUAUAGGCCUAGCACGACGACGAGCAGUAUCUCGUCUGUGAGGGCGACCGGCGACAUGGGAAGUGAGACACGGACCAGACGCUUGAGGGAGGCAGCAGUGGGGAACGUUGGACAACGGGCGAAAGCAUGAUCCAGUGAUGCCGAGUGUGUGAAGAAGGCGUUGGGGGUGUAAAGCACGCUUGUGCGUAAAGAAAUCCUUGGGCCUAAGACGGUCGGUGGGUGACGGUACUGGAAGAAGAAGCACCGGCUAACUACGUG